rnacentral:rRNA from 1 species
CUGUACAGUUCAGAGUUUGAUCCUGGCUCAGGACGAACGCUGGCGGCGUGCCUAACACAUGCAAGUCGAACGGAGUGUUACGCUGAAAUGAAGGUAGCUUGCUACUGAAUUUCUUGUGACACUUAGUGGCGGACGGGUGAGUAACGCGUGAGCAACCUGCCUUUCAGAGGGGGACAACAGUUGGAAACGACUGCUAAUACCGCAUAACAUGUGACUGUGGCAUCACAGACACAUCAAAGAUUUAUCGCUGAAAGAUGGGCUCGCGUUGGAUUAGAUAGUUGGUGAGGUAACGGCUCACCAAGUCGACGAUCCAUAGCCGGACUGAGAGGUUGAACGGCCACAUUGGGACUGAGACACGGCCCAG